rnacentral:rRNA from 1 species
GUGGGGAAUAUUGGACAAUGGGCGAAAGCCUGAUCCAGCCAUGCCGCGUGUGUGAAGAAGGUCUUCGGAUUGUAAAGCACUUUAAGUUGGGAGGAAGGGUAGUAACCUAAUACGUUGCUACUUUGACGUUACCGACAGAAUAAGCACCGGCUAACUUCGUGCCAGCAGCCGCGGUAAUACGAAGGGUGCAAGCGUUAAUCGGAAUUACUGGGCGUAAAGCGCGCGUAGGUGGUUCAGUAAGUUGGAAGUGAAAUCCCCGGGCUCAACCUGGGAACUGCUUGCAAAACGGCUGAGCUAGAGUACGGUAGAGGGUGGUGGAAUUUCCUGUGUAGCGGUGAAAUGCGUAGAUAUAGGAAGGAACACCAGUGGCGAAGGCGACCACCUGGACUGAUACUGACACUGAGGUGCGAAAGCGUGGGGAGCAAACAGGAUUAGAUACCCUAGUAGUCC